rnacentral:rRNA from 1 species
UUGUGUACUUCCCGCCUGGAGGAUGAGUCUUACCUUCCUUAUUAGCUUAGGUUGGUGGUAGGUAAGUGGCUCCAACCGAGGCAACGAGUGGGUAGGCGGGUGUGAGAGCACGACUCCCGCCUCACGUGGGACUGAGACACUCGCCCAGACCACCGUACGGGGUGGCUGCAGUCGAAGAAUUCGUUCGGACAAGUGGGGGAAACCCCUGACCGAGCGACGCCGCGUGCGGGAUGAAGGCCCUCGGGUUGUAAACCGCUGUCGUAAGGGAACAAAUCUAAGAGGGUACUCCCUUUUAGUUGAGUGAUCUUAGGAGGAAGGACGGGCUAAGUUCGUG